rnacentral:rRNA from 11 species
GCUUGCUGCUGUACCAGCUGAAUAUGCCUGAUCUCUUCUGAUUUCAGAAGCUAGGCAGAGUCAGGUAUGGUUAGUACAUGGGUGGGAAGCCAUCUCAGAUUAUCAGGGUAGAGCAAGGA